rnacentral:lncRNA from 1 species
CUAAGAAUCUAUAACGACACGACUAGUGAUAGAUAUACAAGAGUGGCUCUAGCGUAUUCAAAUGUAAUCUUAAGUGUCGUAAAAAAGACUAGAAUCUAAAUAAAUAAGGCGAGUGUAUCUCCAUAAAGAGUAGCUGUGCUCGUCAGGCGUAUCUCCGUGUUGUUAGGUUAACAUGGUUAAGUAACUAUAUUGGUGCACAAAAUAUUUAUUUAACCCUUUAAAAAAUGCAGAUGUAGUCAUUUCAGUUCAAAAUAAAACUGUCAGUGGACGUUAAGCAACCAUCAAUCAAUCAAUCAAAAUAAAACUUAGCAAGUCAAUAUUUUGAUAUUAAAUCCGAUGUCAUUUGUUCAGAAUGCAAAUACUUCUACACGCAAAACAACCCUUGCUAUAUAUUUUGUGAUGUUCCUUUAGUGUCUACCAUACCCAUUUUCAUUCCAAUGAGUGACAAUCGUAAUUUCUUAUCUGUCACGAGAUGGUCUCAGUAUAUCUGAAAAAGUAUGGGAAGAUGAAUUUGAUUUCAUCAGCCGGAGUGUACGGCCUUGGAUCCACUGCUUGUCUCUACAUUCUAGUUCAUAAGAUCUCCCCGAGAUGGUUUUGGAUUUUGAAACGAAAAGAAAGUCGCUGUUAAUACGUCAGUUUUGUAAGGUGAUCAGUUUCGUUCUAUGAUCCAUAAUCUGAAAUCCGCUUGUAUAUAAUGACGCUACAAUCAAUUUAUGAACAGAGCGAAGUAGUCAGUCGAGAACACUGCUGCUCACAUAAUCCAGUGACAUGUACUGCAUAAUCAAGCACACACAGACCGCUAAGCACUGUACCUGUUCAAGUUCAAGUCCUCUUGUACACCUGUAUGUGUCCGAGGUUAUGAAUAAAAUCUUGAAUCUUGAAUUUAGUUCAUGUGUCAAGAGGCGUACUCGAUCGAUCUACUGAUGGAGCAGUGCGCAAAAGGCGUGGGCCAAGACACACGGUUUACAACGAUCAAGGUUUCUGCAGAGGAAGCCCACGAUUCUAGGCAUUCCCAGGGUUGUCGAUGACGUUAUCCGUCCACUGUCUUAACUGAUGGUCUACAACCUUUCAAAGCUUCAAAUCCUUUUUAAUUUCCCUCAUUGCAUUUUUUUGUGUUUUCAUUUCCCUAACAUAGCACUUUAGUGAGCGUAUGCUGUCAACUACGUGUAUAUAUAAUUUCUAAGACAGAGCCAGAGGCCGUGCCAAAAUAUUAAAUGAAAUAGGUCACUUCAAGCUAGGUAUGAAAGGGCAACUGAAUCAUGAUAGUUUCAAUCAAUAAAACGCAGAUGUUUCAAUGAGAAACAUGUGUAUUGACGUGUGUUAAAUCAACUUUUAUCAAUAAAUAUUCACAUGUUUGUCUUAUGUCAUUCACUGAUAGACUAUGACUAUAAUGGCUAACGCAUGAUCAUGCUGAUAUAAAACAAAAAAAUAAUGAAUAUUUCAAUUUUUCAUAAAUAAAAAGUUCGUACAUGUAACACGAACAGAUAAGCGUAGUCUUGUGUUUAAUUUCUAAUGUACAACCAUGAUGAUAUCUUUAAAUUAAAUGAUAAAGCGUCGUGAAAUAGAAAUUCCUUAAUUAUAUAAGUUACAAAUUAAUGGGAUACAUACUCUAAAAUUUAAUUUCCAAUGGAACAAAUAUAUAUAACCGUAUGUGUUCACAACAGAAUAAGUUGUAUAGAAUGUUUGUUCUAAUUGAAACAGAUACGUUGGCAUUGUUAACAACAAGCUUCAUGGGGAACUGCUGUUAGGCAGUGCACUAGUACGAUAACAGUCGUCUGUAGUACCUCUUUAAAUAAAUUAUAUUGAUUAGAAAUUGAUUUGAUAACUUCCCGAAUACUCGUUUAAUAUGAUAACAUUUUUCUAUUUAAUCAAUUGCCUUGGACUCUUUUAUUUCCUUGUGUUGCAUUUUGAUAAUAUAUCAUUUAACUCUUUGUGUGCAUUUAUGGGAAGAAAAUGACACGGUCGGCAAUUUGUCAGUGUAUCUAUAGCAUUCGUUGAAUUAAAAACCUUGAUCCAUGAUUUCACAAUGUUAACACUCCAUGCACAUAUACAAUAUAUAUUACUCGGUGUCCAGGUAGAAAUAGUAUCUAUUCGUAUUUUAGAAAGAUUAACGACUUUAAAACCCACGUUAAUGAUUAAAUUACUAUUUACGGUGAAGCUAUGUCGGUCAACGCGAAUCAACAAAAACAGUUCGAAUAUAAAUCCGGCGCGAUAGAAUCUGAACAAUACAAUAAAUCUCCGGAUU